AAAUGACAGCAAACAAAAUUUUCGCACGUCAAUUUGACAGUGAGUGAAUCCCGUAGGAUUUCGGUUUUCGCAACAAAAAUAUUUACGAAUUUACAGAAAUGCGAAGGGAAUUCAUCAUAGUUUUGUUAGGAAUUAUAUGCACAUCGACUUUAUCGUCUUUGCUCUCCGGCUAUGUGCAGAUAGAGACAGAUAAAAUCCUUUUAGACACGGUAAUCGGCGCUGUAGGUGCGGGAAACUUUUCAUAUUGGCAAUUAGGCCAUACAGGACCUUUGCUUGUUGAAUUAACGUCUUUAUCUGGUGAUGCGGACCUUUAUGUAUCAGAUACUGUAAGGCCAAGCUAUGAGGUAGAUAAGAACAACUUCAGCUCAGUGACCUGCGGUCCUGACAUGGUGCAUAUACCAUCGGACUUCCCUAGACCUAUUGGUAUAGGCAUAUUCGGUCACUGGUCCCACUACAUCUCAGAGUACAGCAUACAAGUGUUCCUGGACGCCUCGGCCGUGCUCACUGAAGAACAGGUGCUGGUCAUCGAGAGAGCCCAGCGAGGACUCGGAGAGAAAUAUCAAGGUAUAUUUAUAACUCGACAAGAGAAAAGAGAAGCCAGCGACUCGUACCAGUAAGGCGGGUGAGGAACCGAAACCGAGGUUCCUGAAGCUUCUGAAUAUCAUGGACAUGAUAUUCGAAAUGUUUGUACUAUAGGUAAUGCUACUAGCAGCUUUUAAGACAAUUUCUCUCUAGCAAUAUUCCCCCGGUGUGCGAACAAAACAAAUUGCGUGCGAACAUUUGUAAAAUGUCCGCGAAACUGCAACCGCUGCGCGAACACAUGCUAGCUGUGGACUCGCGACAUCACAUAUUAUGAAAUCUUCUCAUAUGCAAACAUUGAUAUACAAAAAACCCAAGAUGCACACUCAACGUCUCAAAAACGUCCUCACCAAAUGAGCGCAACAUUCAAAAUUGUGCGCUCAUUUUGUUUGUCCCAGCCGACCACUUCGGUCGUAAAAUUUUAUUGCUUUAACUACAGUGCGUUGUAAUAACGACUUUAAGCAAUUCGCGUAAAGUUAAACUUGCAUUAAAGUACUUAUAGAAAGAGACAGAAUUAGUGUUCGGGGACACUUUCGAGCGUUACUUUUAUUUGAGACUGUGCAUCUUAGGUUUUUGUAUAUCAAUGUAUGCAAAGGUAAAUUAUGGACUAUAAUUUCAUCUAGGAGGCCUUUGAGUCCCUGAAAUGAAAUGUGACUUUCUCUGUGGCACCCGGAUUAAAAGUACGUACAUAAAUAUUAUUUCAUCAUCCUCCAAGCCUUUACCCCAACUGUGUUGGGGUCGGCUUAACCGGAUGCAGCUGAGUACCAGUGCUUUACAAGAAGCGACUGCCUAUGUGACCUCCUCAACCCAGUUACCCGGGCAACCCGAUACCCCCGAUACAGAAAUAUUAUUUCUAAAUGAAAAUUCUCGCUUAUUUUUAAUGUAAAAAAAUAACGCUUCCUAACUCAAAGAAAAGACUGUAGUGUCCAAAAUAAACUUAAGCCUAUGAUGUUUACCGACAAUGUACAAUUGCGUAAGAAAUACAUAUGCAGGGUGUUUCGUUCACAAUCACAUCAUAUCCUAUCGCAUAUACUUUAUGAUAUUCUAUGGCGAAUUGUAAAAAAAAUAAACUAAUCCAUUCAGUGGUUUAGCCACAGGAGUAAUUUUUCGUUUUUACAAUUUACAACAUCAUGUGUAAAGCGGAGAUAAAGUUAGGAGUAUCGAAUGUUUUGACCAGUUAACAGCUGUCAGUUUUCAAUUGUUUGUAAUGACUGACUUGUAUAUGGUGUUCUAUUUUUCGCACAUUUUUAUUCUAUUUCAUCAUCAUCAUCAUCUCAGGCACAGGACGUCCACUGCUGAACAUAGGCCUCCCCCUUAGAUCUCCACAGAUACCUGUUGGAGGCGACCUGCAUCCAGCGUCGACGGCGACCGACAUAACUGUACACCUUUGUUAUUUACUUUGUUAGAAAAAAACAUGUAGUUUUUUUUCUUUGUGUUAAUCGACAUGUAUUAACCAGUAUAUUAACGCAUUUCAUUUAAUGUGAUUAUGAACGACACACCCGAUAUGU